GACACAGUGACUUAGUUAGUAAAGCACUUGCCUAUUAUAUAAGAGUCGUGAAUUCAAAUCUCAUUUUGAGUCG
rfam:Aedes albopictus isolate Foshan contig134862, whole genome shotgun sequence.